rnacentral:miRNA from 1 species
UGAAGUAGAAUAGUUGGGUAUGGU